rnacentral:rRNA from 1 species
UACGAAGGGGGCUAGCGUUGUUCGGAAUUACUGGGCGUAAAGGGUUUGUAGGCGGUUGAACAAGUCAGUGGUGAAAGCCCAGAGCUUAACUCUGGAAUUGCCAUUGAAACUGUUCAGCUUGAGAGUGUUAGAGGAAAGUGGAGUUCCUAGUGUAGGAGUGAAAUCCGUAGAGAUUAGGAGGAAUAUCGAUGGCGAAGGCAGCUUUCUGGGACAUUUCUGACGCUGAGAAACGAAAGCGUGGGUAGCAAACAGG